UUAGACACCAGGCAGCGAUGUAUGAAGAUUGAUACGCAAGUGCUCGACUCGCUUUGCUGGAUCAUCAAACGAAUUGAUAUUAUACUCCAGCCAAGGAUGAAGACAAACAGGUGCAUGCAACUUAAAACCAGGCCUUAAAGGCUGGCAACAGUAAAGACAGGUGGAAAAGUGAGAAGGAGGAAGGAAUGGAGAUUGGAGUGACAGACUAAGGAGAAGGCAUCAGGUAGGAAGUCCCUUCCCCUCUUCCCCCUCUGCUCUCGUUCUGUUUUAACUCAUGUGAAAAAAGCUUUUCAAAUUAUGAUGUGGAUUGACGUGCAGCAGCUGUCCCCUCUCCUGGGUCCUGUCCGUCACCCCGCCGGUCACCGCUGACAGCACUAUGAUGGAUUAGGAAUUGUCAUCCAGGACGCUUGUCACUUGUUUACAAGCCGGCCAUCCCUCAUCUCUCAGCACCGGCCUUAUAAUCUGGCCGGAACGCGUCGCCUCCUCCCCCUCCUCCCCCCCUGCCAGACAUGCUAUACAAGACAACAUCAUACAUUACAUCAGCUUCUUUUUCCCCUCUCUCCUGCUCCUGCACCCAGCACUGCCAACACCUUUAAUACAUUAAUAUAUGUGUUGUAUUCACCAAUCUCCUAGGAAUGGAGGCAAUGUCUUCCUCUGUCGACCUCCACCGCUGAGAACUGACGCUUGGGUUUCAUAAAAGCGUCCUAGUGGCAGCUAACUGAUCCAACCUGAUUUCUGUCAGAUUUUUUUUCUUAAACUGUUAAACAGUGGCUGAAAAAUAUGUAGCACAUACAUGUGUGUUUGCUGUUAUUACAAACCCUGCUUUAUCUCUGUUGAUGGUGAAUUGCCACAAGUUUUUCUGUGGAAUCUCAAACAUUGCAUUUCCAGCGAAAAUUGCGUGAUAAUGGCACAAGUACUGUUGAACAUGAAAAGAAACUUACACACCCAAAAAUGUUAGUAUUAAAUGAUAAAAAGUAAUCUGACAUGGGAAUUUAUUUACAUUGGUGCCAGUUAAGUUUAUGAGGUUUUUGUCCAUGAUAUUAGUUUCAAAUUUUUGCUGCCUGCACACAUUAUACAGGGCAAAGUGACACAUUUAAAGACGUCCUCUGUCACAUUGUAAUCUACUUUAUAUUCUGAAUGGAAAAAAAAAAAAAAGAAAAAAAAAAAAGGUAUUUCUAUAAACUUUCCACCCCAAACAGCAAUAACAUCUGGCCUUGGAACCCCUUGAAAUGCCCAAUGACAAUGCCACAAAAUUAAAAAACUUACUUUUAGAAUGCUUUUUUUUACUCACUUUUAUUUACUAUUAUUAUUUUUCACUAUAAUUAUUCCAUUUGUUUAGCAGAAAAGCUGCCUCAUACUUUCUGACUUUAGUUGGACAUGAGUUCUUGGGUUUUUUUGUAGAGAUGUCUUCCACAGCAGGGCUGCUUGAUGGACGGUUAAUUCUGUCUUCCUCUUGACAGAAACUUGUCCGUUUCACGCUUGUUAUGCUAGCUUAUGUAGUAAAUUUGACGAUGGGCUAAUUAGAAAAACAAUAUGCCAAAGAUUAUUUCAAUAAAUUAUUUUGACUUAUAUUAAAAUGAUUGAAAUAAGAUAUGAUCUUACAAUAUAUAGCCUCCCUGGUGCUCCUCCAUUUGAAGGAUUUCCAGGCACAUCUAGUAAGAUGAUAGUAAUCAACCUGUUGGAGAGAUGAGAAUAUAUUCUUCCUCUGGCCUGGGAACACUUUGGGUUAAAUGAGCAGCAGAGAGUUGCUUAGAAGACGGAUAUGUGGCAUUCCUCCUUUGACCUCUUCCCGCUGGACCCAAUUUUAAUGAGGCUUUGAAGUAAAAAUAAUCCAAUCAAAUGUAUCGUCAUUAUUCAGAAGCAUUCAGGAUAAUGUGCAAGGCCUCCAACUAAAGGAAAAAGAGGAGGUAAACCCACUGCUUUAAUUUGUGUCUGGUUAGUGGGCACAGCUUGGUUCAUGGUAUUAUUUAUACCAAGGUUUUAAGCAUUUGUUAGAAUCCACAUCAUACCAUUCAUACCAGUUUAAAACCCUUUUAGCAAGAAGAUAGAAAAAGCGCUGUGAGUCGCUGGGGAUUGCUCUGAGUCAAGAAGUGUUGCAUUGUACUGCCCCUCUUCACCUGUUGCUGCUCCCUCCUGCCUGAAAAAAGUUCAUACUGGAACUUAAAUUCACCGCAUCCAUCCAUAUAUUCAUCGUCUAUACCUGCUUAUCCAUUCAGGGUUGUAGGGGAGUUGCUGUCGAUCUCCAACGGCCAUUGGACAAGAGGCAGGGAACAUCCCGGACAUGCCCCCAACCCAUCAAAGGGCAACACAGAGAUGCAGAACAAAGAGCCAUGCACGUACACUCACACUUUUGUACCUCACAGCAAUUUAGAGGGAACAUUAAUCAACAUUAUCAGUCAUGUUUUUGGACUUUAGGAGUAAGCCGGAAUGCCUAGAAUACAAACAUGCCGGGGAUUUGAUCUCAGAACCUUCUUGCUACUGCUCUAAUGUGCAACACUAUACUAAGUUCAGCAGGUGUUUUGCUCAUCUUUAUUUUGUCCAAUGAAGGUACGUGAUGUAUUAAAAAUUGCUAUAAUUGAACACAAUAUACAGGUUUUGAGCAUUUCAUAUGAUUUGGCAGCAGUAGAAAUAAUUGUUACUGACAAGAUCAAUUAAUUAUGUUAUAGCUAGAACCACAUUAUUUCAUAAGGAGUCUUUUUUUGCCCCCUGUCUGCUGCUGCUACAGGAAGGCGUGACAUUGCGCUCCCUCUGCCGUCUUUGGCCAAACUGGAUGUUGAGCAAACCCCAGCUUGUCUUUUCUUUUCCAGCUUGUGUCAGCCCUGGCAGCUGUGCUCACUCAGAAAGGAUGAGUGGAUGCCAUCUACCCUUCACUGCUGAGGCCCACCAAGUGCUCCCAGUGUGGCCCUUGAGAGGAGCCAUAAUCUUCUCCUGCCUGCCUUAUGGUCCCCCUUUGCGGAUUCCUAGACUGCAGGCCUGGGAGCGGGGGGCAGCCCGCCGUAUCCUGCUAUGAGCAUAUUGUCAUUAAAUUAAAAAUUUCCGAACACUCCCUUGCUUGUGGCAUAACUGCCGCCACGAGAGCGAUCAUAAUUGGCUCUGAAAACAUGCGUAAUUGCCUUCAGCUGGCGCUCUUUUACAGUUGACAUUGUUGAGGCGGUGGCGGAGCGAUCGGGCGAACUGAAUCUGCAGCUUGUUUCACGACGGCGGUCGUAAUUUAAAUAUGGUACGUGUGAGUGGAAGAUUACAUUAAAGCUCCUAGAUAAUCACCUGACAGGGGAGUCAUUGAAUCGACAAUCUGCUGCCGUGUUCCGGGGGAGCGGGCCACGGCGAACGGGCCAUGUGAGGAAGGCGGUGAGGAGGGGGGUCGAUGUUGGCUCUCUCAGAUGCAGAGCGGUACCGGAUUGCUGGUUCAGCCUCCCUCUCUCUUUCUACUUUGUGUCAGACACACUCCCCUCCGCUGGUUUAAAUACGCCGCUUCCCCUUUAAGAGCUAGCAGAUGGCUACACUGAGGUUGCAUUUUCAUUAAUAUUUUUAUUACCCUUUUUAUACGGGCAACAUGAAACCCCUUCUAUCCACCACCAGUCUGUCUUUUUAUGACCUAAAAUUGAAAGUUUACUGUUGACGAUUUUCGCUUUACCUGAAAGGCAUCGUUUGGUGUCAUUGCGUUGACUCUCUUUUGAGUCAACU